UACGGGGGGAGCAAGCGUUGUUCGGAUUUACUGGGCGUAAAGGGCGCGUAGGCGGCCACCGCAAGUCGACUGUGAAAUCUCCGGGCUUAACCCGGAAAGGUCAGCCGAUACUGCGGGGCUAGAGUGCAGAAGGGGCAACUGGAAUUCCUGGUGGUAGCGGUGAAAUGCGCAGAUAUCAGGAGGAACACCGAUGGCGAAGGCGGCUCUCUGGGCCUUACCUGACGCUGAGGAGCGAAAGCGUGGGUAGCGAACAGG
rnacentral:rRNA from 1 species